rnacentral:lncRNA from 1 species
GCGAGUUGUAAUCCUCCGUGGUCUCGGCGAUGAACUCCGAGACGGUGAUCUGGUCCGGCAUGAUCCGAUUCCAUAAUGAAUCUCUUGAAGAAAAACUUGAAAGCCUGGAAGCUGAAGAUCUCAUGUCUCAUCUGUCACGACCAGAAAACUACCGGGAUGUGCGUGGGCUGAAUUCCCAUGCCAGAUGUGCUCCUCAGACCUAAGGCCAUUAUUCCAUCUCAGACUAAAAAAUAUUCUCCCAUGGUUAGCUGGAAAAGACCAUGUUUCUUCAGGUUUUAUUUCCACCAAAAAGAAAAAGGUGAAAUAAAAUAAAAGUCAAAAGUAAAAAACGACAGAGAGGAAAUCCAGUGCACGGUGAGCCCAGAGUUCUGCAGGCUUAAGGGUGUUGCUCUGCAUCCAUAAAUGUCCUGACCGGUGAGCAGACACAGGCACUACAACUGGAAAGAGAGCAGGAAGGAAAGCCAACCAUGUGAGCAAAGUGAAAAAAAAAAAAAAAUG